CGCUGGCGGCAGGCUAACACAUGCAGUCGAGCGGAUGAAGGGAGCUUGCUCCUGGAUUCAGCGGCGGACGGGUGAGUAAUGCCUAGGAAUCUGCCUGGUAGUGGGGGAUAACGUCCGGAAACGGGCGCUAAUACCGCAUACGUCCUGAGGGAGAAAGUGGGGGAUCUUCGGACCUCACGCUAUCAGAUGAGCCUAGGUCGGAUUAGCUAGUUGGUGGGGUAAAGGCCUACCAAGGCGACGAUCCGUAACUGGUCUGAGAGGAUGAUCAGUCACACUGGAACUGAGACACGGUCCAGACUCCUACGGGAGGCAGCAGUGGGGAAUAUUGGACAAUGGGCGAAAGCCUGAUCCAGCCAUGCCGCGUGUGUGAAGAAGGUCUUCGGAUUGUAAAGCACUUUAAGUUGGGAGGAAGGGCAGUAAGUUAAUACCUUGCUGUUUUGACGUUACCAACAGAAUAAGCACCGGCUAACUUCGUGCCAGCAGCCGCGGUAAUACGAAGGGUGCAAGCGUUAAUCGGAAUUACUGGGCGUAAAGCGCGCGUAGGUGGUUCAGCAAGUUGGAUGUGAAAUCCCCGGGCUCAACCUGGGAACUGCAUCCC
rnacentral:rRNA from 1 species